GUAGGGUUUAGCUCAGUGGCAGAGCACUUGCCUAGCAUGCUAAGAUCUUGGGUUUGAUUCCCCAACACCACA
rnacentral:tRNA from 2 species